UAGGGGGUAGCUCAUCUGGGAGAGCGUCGCGUCGCAAUGCGAAGGUCGGGAGUUCGACCUCCUCCUCUCAA
rnacentral:tRNA from 1 species